rnacentral:lncRNA from 1 species
UUUUUUUCUUUUUCUUUUUGUCUUUUUAGGGCCACACCCAUGACAUAUGGAGGUUCCCAGGCUAGGGGUCCAAUUGAUGCUGUAGCCGAGGGCCUACGCCAGAGGCACCACAACACAGGAUCCAAGUCGCAUCUGUGACCUACGUCACAGUUCACGGCAACGCUGGAUUCUUAACCCACUUGAGUGAGGCCAGGGAUAGAACCUGUACCCUCAUGGAUGCUAGUGGGGUUUGAUAACCACUGAGCCACGAUGGGAACUCUGGCAGCACUGUUUACAGUAGUCAAGAUAUGGAAGCAAUCUAAGUGUCACUGAUAGAUAAAUGUAUAAAGAAGAUAUGGUACAUAUAUACAAUAGAAUACUACUCAGCCAUAAAAAAGAAUGAAAAUUUUGCCAUUUGCAGCAACAUGGAUGGUCUUGGACUUGGGCAUAUUACACUAAACGAAAUAAGUCAAACAGAGAAAAAAACACUAUGUUACUUAUAUGUGGAAUCUAAACUAUAAAACAAACUAGGAAAUACAACAAAAAAGAAACAGACUCAGAGAUAUAGAGAACAAAGUGGUGGAUAUCAGUGGAGAGAGGGAAGGAGGGGGGCAAGAUAAAGAUUGAGAAUUAAAAGGUAAAAACUACUAUGUACAAAAUAAGCAUGCUCUAAGGAUAUACUGUAUAGCACAGGGAACAUAGCCAAUAUUUUACAAUCACUGUAAGUGGAGUAUAACCUUUAAAAAUUGUGAAUCACUAUGUUGUACACCUGAAACAUAUACAACCGCAUAUCAACUAUACCUCGAUUAAAAAAAAAAAAACAGAAUCAGACUCACAGAUGUAGAAAGCCAACCUGUGGUUACUAAAGGGAAAGGGGGGAGGGACAAAUUAGGAGUAUGGGAUUAAUGGAUACAAACUCCUAAGCAACAAGUAUAUAUUAUAUAGCACAGGGAAUUAUAGCCAUUAGCUUCUAAUAACUUUUAAUGGAAUAUAAUCUGCAAAAAUACUGAAUCACUGUGUUAUACACCUAAAACUAACAGACUAUUAUAAAUCAGCUAUACCUCAAUUAAAAAAACAAAAACAAACUCUUAUGCUGUGCCUUCUCCCCCCAGCUGGUGUACAAGCUCCAAGAAGGCAGGAAACUUUCUUUGGUUCACCACCGUCUGUCAGCACUUACAACAGCAUCUAGUACAUAAAAGGCACUCAAAUCUUUGUUAAAUGAAUCAGUUAACAUCUUUGGAAUAUGUUCCUCUUCUUUUGCUCUUUGCCCGUAUAUUUUUCUAU